rnacentral:rRNA from 1 species
AGUGAACGCUGGCGGUAGGCCUAACACAUGCAAGUCGAACGGCAGCACAGGAGAGCUUGCUCUCUAGGUGGCGAGUGGCGGACGGGUGAGGAAUACAUCGGAAUCUGCCCAGUCGUGGGGGAUAACGUAGGGAAACUUACGCUAAUACCGCAUACGACCUUCGGGUGAAAGAGGGGGAUCGCAAGACCUCUCGCGAUUGGAUGAGCCGAUGUCGGAUUAGCUAGUUAGCGGGGUAAUGGCCCACCAAGGCGACGAUCCGUAGCUGGUCUGAGAGGAUGAUCAGCCACACUGGAACUGAGACACGGUCCAGACUCCUACGGGAGGCGGCAGUGGGGAAUAUUGGACAAUGGGCGCAAGCCUGAUCCAGCCAUACCGCGUGGGUGAAGAAGGCCUUCGGGUUGUAAAGCCCUUUUGUUGGGAAAGAAAUCUUUCAGGCUAAUACCCUGGGAGGAUGACGGUACCCAAAGAAUAAGCACCGGCUAACUUCGUG